GGAUUUUCCAAGCAAGAAUACUGGGGUGUGUUGCCAUUUCCUUCUCCAGGGGAUCUUCCCAGUCCAGGAAUCAAACCCAGGUCUCCAGAAUCACAGGCGGUUUCUUUACUGACUGAUCUACAGGGUCAUUCAACCAUUCCUCAGAAGAAGGAUAUUUGGAUUGUAUCCAAGUUGGGGCAACUAUGAAUGAGGCUGCUAUAAAUAUUUUUGUGCUGUUACUGCUGCUGCUAAGUCACUUCAGUCGUGUCCGAAGCUGUGCGACCCCAUAGAUGGCAGCCCACCAGACUCCCCCGUCCCUAGGAUUCUCUAGGCAAGAACACUGCAGUGGGUUGCUAUUUCCUUCUCCAAU
ensembl:lncRNA